GAUGAACGCUGGCGGCGUGCCUAAUACAUGCAAGUCGAGCGACAGAUGAGGAGCUUGCUCCUCUGACGUUAGCGGCGGACGGGUGAGUAACACGUGGAUAACCUACCUAUAAGACUGGGAUAACUUCGGGAAACCGGAGCUAAUACCGGAUAAUAUAUUGAACCGCAUGGUUCCAUAGUGAAAGACGGUUUUGCUGUCACUUAUAGCUGGAUCCGCGCCGCAUUAGCUAGUUGGUAAGGUAACGGCUUACCAAGGCAACGAUGCGUAGCCGACCUGAGAGGUUGAUCGGCCACACUGGAACUGAGACACGGUCCAGACUCCUACGGGAGGCAGCAGUAGGGAAUCUUCCGCAAUGGGCGAAAGCCUGACGGAGCAACGCCGCGUGAGUGAUGAAGAUCUUCGGAUCGUAAAACUCUGUUAUUAGGGAAGAACAAAUGUGUAAGUAACUAUGCACGUCUUGACGGUACCUAAUCAGAAAGCCACGGCUAACUACGUG
rnacentral:rRNA from 1 species